rnacentral:miRNA from 1 species
UGUUGUAUUAGGUUGGUGCAAAAGUAAUUGCGGUUUUUGCCACACCCUUUUGCACCAACCGAAUAGUUUU